rnacentral:lncRNA from 1 species
GUGUGUAAAACAUAUCUUAUGUGUUGUGUCUCUUAGCUUGUGAUGUGCACGUGUUGAAUGUGACAUGGUGGUCGGCGGCAUGAGGUGAAGGUCAAGCGAAAGGUUCGUGCCGAUGUAUUAGGGCUGUGAAGGGUAGACACGAGUAGACUUGUACCAAGGGACCUGAGAAGUCCGGGCGGGGUCACGGAUGAUCCACAUGGUGCACGGAAGAGCAAGAGUACACUGGGAUGAAGACGGUGUCGGUCGAGUCAAGCAGGAUGGAGGUGAGUUGAGUAGGCGUCUUCAGAGCCGGGAGUGAAGGACUUGGAGGCGUUGAAAGCUUAGUGGAGGCCGGACACGCGUCGAAAUCGGUGAAUCAUGUCGUGCGAGGUGUGCAACACGCCUGGCGGGGCGUGCGAGAGGGUUCGAGCGGUUUGGCCUCAAAACAGGGGCGAGUC